GGUACCUAUCAUGAGAUUUAUGAACACUAUCUAAUAGUAAAAAAUAUAAAAAAAGAAAUUCUUUGUAUAUACAUUCGAACUACUGUUGGUCAUAUUUCUCUUUAUCGAGAAAUCGAAGAAGCUAUACAAGGGUUUUGCCAAGCCUGCUCAGAUAGUAUCUAAUCUAAUCAUAGGGAUCUAAGCUAAGUAAUUCUAUGAUACCGGCAUGAAUUCCAAUCUCUUCGGUUCAACUAGGACCAUAGUUCCUGAAUUUAUACGCGAAUCAAGAUCGAG
rnacentral:misc_RNA from 1 species